rnacentral:lncRNA from 1 species
AAGCCGAGAAGUCACGUUGAUGAAAGUAUCUUCAGGACAAGGGAUUGUUAAGCCACCCAUUGGAUGAGCGAACCCAAAUUCUUCUUCAGAUUUGCUCAGAAGAGCUUGAAACGAAGGUUGGCUCAAGUAUGAGAUUGGCACCACAAAUCUCUUCUUCUGGCUCUCUCCUACGUACACCGCAAGAAACCCUUUUGGUGCUGCUGAGGUCGCCCUUUUGCUUGUUGUGGCUCCAAGAAUCUUCUUGGCACCCAAUAGAUUUCUUACGAAAGCCAUUUCUUGUUUCUCUUUUUUUUAUGAAAGUCUAAAUCCUUUUCAAGCCUUUGAAGAUGUAUGAAAAAGAUUCAAGUUAUUGGAAUAAUGUUUGUGUGUUGGUUGAUGAUAUGGAAAGAAUCGGUAAUGUUAUGUGUAUAUAUAGAAAGAUCAAUGAAUAACUUUGAACUUCUCUGAAACUUGUGGUCUUGAAGAAGUGGACAAACUAGAGCAGAGUUUCACAUGGUUUUGUCUUUACAGCCUGGAAACUAAUUGAGUGUAGGACUACAAAAUAAAAAUGAAAUGCAAUUCACAAGGGCUUGUUUUCUCAAUGUUUGUUUAGAUAAGACAUAUGCUAUUGUCAAUAAUAAAGACCAGUAUGUUUCUGUUCUUCAUGUUCUGUGGUGAUCAUAUUUUCACAUCUCUGCGGUCUAAAUAUAUUUUAAUUAAUGAGAAUUUAAAGUGGGGACCUGAAGUUUCUCAACAACAGAACAACAAGUCCCUGUCACAGGUUAAGUUGUUCUUUGAUUACAUCCACAAAUAUGAUCACACUUAUACGUAAAAGAUUGAAUACUUAAUUUCUUCUCUUCAUUUAUUAUACAGACAUGAGAAAACAGAGAGUUAAAGCACGUUAGCUUUCAUUACUUGUCUUCUAUCAUAUCUAAAACACAGAACCAUGUGAUUAGAGGUAUGUACAUGUCCCAUUCUUUCAAUGGUUCUAGUGUGGUUUAAAGUCUUUCAUCAAUCUAUAUAUACAUCUUAAGGCAGAGAACCAACUCUUCAAUACAAACCUUCAAUCUCAGCAUCUAAUCCAUUUCUUAGAAGCUUCAAAUUUCAAUUUAAAGACACAAGAAAUGGCUUUUUUUAGAGGUCUCUUGAGUGCAAAGAGGAUUAUUGGCCUCUCUGUAGCGGCUACAAGCAAAAGUAGAGUUUCAGCGCCAAAGGGGUUUCUUGCGGUGUACGUUGGAGAGAGACAGAAGAAAAGAUUUAUAGUGCCAGUCUCAUACUUGAGCCAGCCUUCUUUUCAAGCUCUCCUCAGUAAAUCUGAGGAAGAAUUUGGAUAUGACCAUCCAAUGGGUGGACUAACGAUUCCUUGUCCUGAAGAUACCUUCAUCAACGUGACUUCUAUGCUUCAAUGAUGAUGUUCCAGAAGAAGAAAACACUGACAUUAGUUAGAGAUAGAAUAUCAUUCAAUGUACAUAUGUUUUAACUUUUUCCUUAUUCAAUGUGAAUAUGACCAUUUGAAAAUUAAGUUCUUUGAUUUCUUCUCGUUGAUGAUAUGAAUCGUUGGAGAUAUCAUAUUAUAAUAAUAGUUUUGUGAAUAAGGUAUGAAUCCAUCUUUUAAAACAAAACUGGAACACAUGAAAACAGAGUUUCUUAAUGUUUUGUUUUCCAAGAUAAAUGCAUGUGAAACCAAAAUAAAAAACAAUGAAAGCUAACAAGCCUUUUCUUCAAACAGAGAACAAUUCACCGACGAUUUCAAACCGGAACUAAGAGUUUCGGUUAAGUGAAAUUAGAUCAGCAAACCAAUAGAGUGGAAUGGAUAAAACGCAGGAAAAGCAAAAGACAAAACCGGAGGUAAAAAAAACAAAAAUUUCCGGAUAAUGUUCGGGAGUUUGAACCCGACGUGAAUCGAACACGCAACCUUCUGAUCUGGAGUCAGACGCGCUACCAUUGCGCCACGGAUCCGGAUGUUAUAGAACCUCACUUGUAUAUUUAUCUCAUGAUUUGUUAUAAGUUCUUCAAAUGUAUUAUGCUCGUUCCAAAAUGUAUUCACAUGAUAUUGUCUAUUACAUAAAAAUGGCACUCACUUUCUAAACUUUAGAACAAAUAUUUGAAGAAGAGAGAGAAAAAGGUUAUCUAUUUACAAUGGAUGUCUAUUUCUAUAACUCCCAUAACAAAACUUGACAGUCAAGUAAUCAUCACUGGAACCGAGAAGUCACAUUGACGAAUGUAUCUUCCGGACAAGGAAUGGUUAAUCCACCCAUUGGAUGAUCAAACCCAAACUCUUCUUCAGAUUUACCGAGUAGAGCUUGAAAGGAAGGCUGGCUCAGGUAUGAGAUUGGCACUACAUAUCUCUUCUUCAGACUCUCUCCUACGUACACCGCAAGAAACCCUUUUGUUGUCGCAGAGGUUGCCCCUUUGCUUGUUACCGCUCCAAAAACCUUCUUUGCACCCAGUAGACUUCUCAUCAAAGCCAUCUCUUUCUUUAAAGUUUGAAAUUCUUUUUGAGGCUCGUGAAGAUUUAUGAAAAGAUUAAAGUAUGAAAAGAUUAAAGUUAUUGGAUAUAUUGCUUGUUGCUUGUUUCUUGUUAAUGAUAGAAAUAAUAGGUUGUGUAUAGUAUAUAUAGAAAGAUGAAUAUGAGUUUGAACCCUCUUUGAAAAAUCCUUGAAACUUGUUGUCUACAAUUGUGUGGGACAGGCUAUAGAACAAAGCACCACAUGGUUCUGUCUAUACCGUCUCAAAAAGAUGCAUUAAUGCAAUUUGUCUACUUGGAUAAUCGUCAUAGUCAAUUCACAAGGGCUUGGUUUGUUUGUGAUCCUAUUUUUAAAUAUAAUCAAAGAACAACUUGAAUGGUGACACAGACUUGUUGUUCUGUUGUUGAGAAACUUCAGGUCCCCACUGUUAGUUCUUAUUAAAUCAAUCUAGACUACAUAAAUGAGAGAAUAUGACAUAUAAUCAACCAUAGAACAUGAAGGACAGAACCAUGUGAUCUGCUCUAGUCUGUCCCACGAUCCAAGACCACAAGUUUCAAUGAGAGAUUUUAACUCACUCAUCGAUCUAUCUAUAUAUGUACACAUUAGCCAUUCUUUCUAUCAUCAACCUAAAGCAAGCAAUCAAAUAACUUUAUUUUUUUCAUACAUCUUCAAAAACUUCGAAAGAAAUCAAACUUUCAGUUAAAAAAUGACCUUGGUGAGAAGUCUAUUGGGUGCAAAGAAGAUUCUUGGCCGCUCUGUAACAGCAGCAGCUUCUACGAGUAAAAGAUCAACCUCGGCUGCACCAAAAGGGUUUCUUGCUGUGUACGUAGGAGAGAGCCAGAAGAAGAGAUAUGUGGUGCCAAUCUCAUACCUGAGCCAGCCAUCGUUUCAAGCUCUUCUGAAUAAAUCUGAAGAAGAGUUUGGGUUUGAUCAUCCAAUGGGCGGCUUAACAAUUCCUUGUUCUGAAGAUAUAUUCAUCACAGUGACGUCUCGGUUCCAAUGAUGAUUAUCCAACAUAUUGUUAGUCUAGUUAGAUAUAGACUUUCCCUGUAGAUAGAUGAGAUUUUUUUUACCUCUUUAUUGUUUAAAGAGUUAUUCUAUAAUCUUUUGAAAGUGAAUGUUAUAGACACGAUAACGAUUCAUGUUUUAACAUUUUGGAUCAACCAUUGAACAAGAAAGUGUGACACCUAUCUGAUUCUCGUUUUUUUCUUCUUCUCGUCUUCUUAUUUGAUCAUUACUUUUGGUGUGCCAGUGCCUCAGCAUACUACUGUAAUGACAUGUGUUUUGAUCUUUGUGAAUAUGAAGAAAAACUCACUAGAGAAUAUUCAUUACAGAGAAUGAAGAACAUGUUGCAUGUCCUACAGUCAAUCCAGAUUUAAAACAUCUGAAUUACACAACCAUGUGAAACUCUGUUCUCUGUACAUCAGGUUUUCAACUCAGUAUAACGUGUCUCUCGGCUCCAAAAUAAUGUUCAUGCUAUAAAACAUACUUAACCAAUUUUUGUAAAUAGAUAGACACCUUUUUCUUUUACUUCUAAAUAGAGUUUGUAGCAGCGUGUGUGAAGAGUUAACUGAAUGAUUAUUGACUUAUUUAUAGCUUUUGUCAUUUGAUCCAAUGAAUCCAAAACAUUGAGCGGUUCGAGCCAUACAGAAGCUGUAAACAUCGUCUUAAAUGAGGUAUCCUCUGUAGUUCAGCGACCUUAGGAGUAAUUUGAUUGUGUAGUGAGAUUAAUGAGAUGACAAUCUUCAGAUUAAAAGCUAAUUUAUCAUAAGACAAGAAUCUUGAUGAAGAUAAAACAUAGGCAAUAAAUGUAUGCAAGAAUGAUGAACUUUCUUCUCAAAAAACUUGUUGCAAUUUGUAUAAUAGCAACCAUUGUCCUUACAUAGAAAUGUGGCAUAAACAUUUGAGUUAUGUAACCUCUUGAACAACUCUCUUUGACAAAGAAAGAGGAAAGGGUUAACAUAUAUACAUUUAAUGAUUCUAUAUCUAACUAAUGUCAGUGUUUUCUUCUUCUGGAACAUCAUCAUUGAAGCCGGGAAGUCACGUUGAUGAAGGUAUCUUCAGGACAAGGAAUCGUUAGUCCACCCAUUGGAUGGUCAUAUCCAAACUCUUCCUCAGAUUUACUGAGAAGAGCUUGAAAAGAAGGUUGGCUCAAGUAUGAGAUUGGCACUAUAAAUCUUUUCUUCUGGCUCUCUCCAACGUACACCGCAAGAAACCCCUUUGGCGCUGAAACUGUCCUUUUGCUUGUAGCAGCUACAGAGAGACCAA